GUGAGUAAUGCCUGGGAAUAUGCCUUGAUGUGGGGGAUAACCAUUGGAAACGAUGGCUAAUACCGCAUAAUGCCUACGGGCCAAAGAGGGGGAUCUUCGGACCUCUCGCGUCAAGAUUAGCCCAGGUGGGAUUAGCUAGUUGGUGAGGUAAUGGCUCACCAAGGCGACGAUCCCUAGCUGGUCUGAGAGGAUGAUCAGCCACACUGGAACUGAGACACGGUCCAGACUCCUACGGGAGGCAGCAGUGGGGAAUAUUGCACAAUGGGCGCAAGCCUGAUGCAGCCAUGCCGCGUGUGUGAAGAAGGCCUUCGGGUUGUAAAGCACUUUCAGUCGUGAGGAAGGUUNNNNNGNUAAUAGCGUAUGGAUUUGACGUUAGCGACAGAAGAAGCACCGGCUAACUCCGUGCCAGCAGCCGCGGUAAUACGGAGGGUGCGAGCGUUAAUCGGAAUUACUGGGCGUAAAGCGCAUGCAGGUGGUUCGUUAAGUCAGAUGUGAAAGCCCGGGGCUCAACCUCGGAACUGCAUUUGAAACUGGCGGACUAGAGUACUGUAGAGGGGGGUAGAAUUUCAGGUGUAGCGGUGAAAUGCGUANAGAUCUGAAGGAAUACCGGUGGCGAAGGCGGCCCCCUGGACAGAUACUGACACUCANAUGCGAAAGCGUGGGGAGCAAACAGGAUUANAUACCCUGGNAGUCCACGCCGUAAACGAUGUCUACUUGG
rnacentral:rRNA from 1 species